rnacentral:tRNA from 1 species
GUUACUAUAGUUUAACAAAACCAUUAGGAUGUGAACCUAAAAAUAGAAGUUCAACCCUUCUUAGCAACC